AGUGAACGCUGGCGGCAGGCCUAACACAUGCAAGUCGAACGGCAGCACAGUAAGAGCUUGCUCUUACGGGUGGCGAGUGGCGGACGGGUGAGGAAUACAUCGGAAUCUACUUUUUCGUGGGGGAUAACGUAGGGAAACUUACGCUAAUACCGCAUACGACCUACGGGUGAAAGCAGGGGAUCUUCGGACCUUGCGUGAUUGAAUGAGACGAUGUCGGAUUAGCUAGUUGGCGGGGUAAAGGCCCACCAAGGCGACGAUCCGUAGCUGGUCUGAGAGGAUGAUCAGCCACACUGGAACUGAGACACGGUCCAGACUCCUACGGGAGGCAGCAGUGGGGAAUAUUGGACAAUGGGCGCAAGCCUGAUCCAGCCAUGCCGCGUGGGUGAAGAAGGCCUUCGGGUUGUAAAGCCCUUUUGUUGGGAAAGAAAAGCAGCAGGUUAAUACCCCGCUGUUCUGACGGUACCCAAAGAAUAAGCACCGGCUAACUUCGUG
rnacentral:rRNA from 1 species